CCCUUUAAUUAUGAAAGUGACCACUCCGUUCAAGAUUAAAACUUGGAGGGACUUUGGAAAAGAAAAGGAAUCUGGAAGAAGAAACACAGCUGGUGCUUCCGAGGGCGCCUAGUUUUGAGAAGGUAUCUAGGAAGACUGCGCUGGGUGUCUAGAACAACUUCGCGGACCUCGGUGCUCGCCCAUCAUGGAUGUUCCAGGUAACCUACCCCAUCAGAGCUCCGGAAUCUGGUUGCUAGUUGCCUUU